rnacentral:rRNA from 1 species
GAUGAACGCUGGCGGCGUGCUUAACACAUGCAAGUCGAACGAAUCACUUUAUUUGAUUUCCUUCGGGACUGAUUAUUUUGUGACUGAGUGGCGGACGGGUGAGUAACGCGUGGGUAACCUGCCUUGUACAGGGGGAUAACAGCUGGAAACGGCUGCGAAUACCGCAUAAGCGCCCAGCAUCGCAUGGUGCAGUGAGGAGAACUCCGGUGGUAUAAGAUGGACCCGCGUUGGGUUAGCUAGUGGGGGAGGUAACGGCCCACCAAGGCGACGAGCCAUAGCCGGCAUGAGAGGCUGACCGGCCACAUUGGGACUGAGACACGGCCCAAAAUCCUACGGGAGGCAGCAGUGGGGAAUAUUGCACAAUGGGCGAAAGCCUGAUGCAGCGACGCCGCGUGAGCGAAGAAGUAUUUCGGUAUGUAAAGCUCUAUAAGCAGGGAAGAUAAUGACGUUACCUGACGAAGAAGCACCGGCUAACUACGUG